AUUAAUUUCAAUCAGAACAUUUUUAAUGAUAUCUCGGCUGAGUUUGUAAAUGAUUCCGGUCUGGUUUUUCUUCUUUUGCGUCUGGGAAACCAUGUAAACACUUAAAAACACAUAUCAUUUUGUCCAAUGAUCAUUAAACUUGCUCAGAACAUUUGUUCUAAUGAUUUCGAGGUCGAGUAUGAAAUAAGUUCCGGUCCAUUAAAAAACAAGCUUAGCGAUUCUACUGACCUAUUGUGUAGACAGCGAUGUUUCAACAAAAGGGAUUAAAAUGUGCGAAAGCGACUCUUUGCGGAUAAUGGAGCGUGUCUGUCAAAAUCGUCAAUACUAUGCGUAUCCUUGGAAAUUUAUGAAAUUCUUCGCUGGAUUAUAGUGUGCAAUCGAUAAUUGCCGGGCAUAAUAUCGGAUGAUUGAUAACGAUAGCGGAAGUGGCAAAUGCGCGGUUAUUUUCGGGCACUAUUUUUUUCAGAAAUAUUUUGUUUACAAGACGAAAAAAGUAGGGUCGGGACCAAAAUCGUAGGUAGGGUCGGGUUACCCGAAACACACAUUUUUGUUUGUUUGGCCUAGUUGAAACUUCUAUAUCUUCAGACUCCAACUCUAUAUAUCGCAAAGUGUAAGAUAUUGCUACUGCAAUAAAUGAUGUAGCCAUUAUUGACAGAUUGGCAAGUGUUCCAAAUGGUGAUCUUGUAGCCAUUGAGGCUCGAUAUCAUAGAAAAAAGGUUGUUUGACUAAAUACUACCAGUGUAAUAAUUAUGCAUUUUCCGGGCUGACACCCAAUAAGGCCACUUCUGAAAACCAAACAAUUGUAUACACAAUAAUAAAUGAGAUAAUUAAAAAUGAAUUGGAGCAUUCUAUUGUUGUUGAUAAAAAGGUGUUCUUCUUAACUACAUUAAUAAAACGUUUUAUUGAAAUUGCUGAAUCAGAAGGAUGUUCAAAUGAUGCAAACUCUUAUAAAAGUUCCAAUUUGAAAAAGUUGUUUGAAAAAUUAUGGCCAGAGGUAUCCUUUAUUCAUCAGCAUGAAAAGCCUGACCUUGUUUGUUCGUCUAGUUUGACUAUUAAUGAUGCUGUCAGAAAGUCAAAGGAGAUGGAAAAGGUCAUUCAAGAUGACAAUGAGUGUUCAUACGAUGAACAACCAGUGUCAGAGGACGACACAGAUGAAGCUGUAGUUCAUAAGGCGAUGGGUAUUUUGAGAAGACGAAUUAUAGAGAAUACUCCUAAAUUUGAUGACUUCUUUUACGCUCCAGAAGAAAUCAAAUUGUCAGAUCAGAAGCAGUUUGUGGAGCCUUUUCUUUACAAGGCAGUGUGUUGGUUACAUGACAAAAAUGCUACAAGGAAGCUUCUGAGAGGACCAUUACAAGAUGUCAAGCUGCUGCUUGUGACCUAACUACACUUGUCACGUAAAACCCAUCCUCUAAACACCUGAGCUUAGGGAUACACGUCAACAGCGAGUUUGGCAGCCGCCAUCUGAUUGAAGAAAUGUACUCUUUUGUUUAUUCCAUCUCAUAUCCAGAUCUUCGGGUAUUCUUGACAUCAGCAGCCCAACCGAAAAUUGCAUCACAUUGAAUAACAGACUCUGGUGGUAUUGUACCAGACAAUAUACUACCUAAAGACCAAAGGGGGAAGCUUGUAGUGGCAGUUGCUUAUAACUGGAAUCUGAAUGAGCGAACAGUUGAUGGUAAAAGGACGACUCAUGCGAUGACAAGCAUGUUGGUCAGCAGUGCGCCAGCCGAGUCAACGAGGAUUCCACGACUUCCGAAAGCAACAAUGCAGUGUUUUAACACUGAAUGUCAUGGAGCCCAUAUACGACUUCGUAUCAGCCCGUACACAGCCUAUGUACACCCUUGGGGUAACGCUGUUCACAGGUUCAUGGUGUGGCCUACUGUGCACGUUAGCGGCG